UAUUCUUAAUAUUUUUCACAUUUUUUCCAUUUAUGCGUAUAUUAAGAACCCCAAAAGUCAUAUUUUGCAAUCACUGAAAAGUCACGUCUUUAGAAUUACAGUCAUUCCCUUCAUCUUCUUUCUCACAUUCGUUGCUUCUUGAUCUCUGUCGCCUUCUUCCUCUCCUUUUCUUCUCGUCGGUCCCUUCGACUGCUUCUCCACCGUGGAAUGCUUGGCUGCUCGUGCUUUUCACCGCCAUUACAGAGAGAAAAGGAUUCGGAAAGCAAAGUAGCAAAUUCAGAAUGGGUUCAUGGCCAUUCCGAAUCCAUUAGUCUAAUUGCUCAUUAUCUGCAGGUAUAUAGUAGUGAGCAUAAAAACAAGUGGGAUCGAAAUCCCUUGUAACGGUAAGGCCUUAUUAACUUGGCUAAUCGUUUCUAUCUUUAAACCCUAUUUCCAUUCUCUAUUUAUUUACUUUGUUGGAUUCUAUCUACAUUAAUCAUAAGCGAAGUCUUGAUUUCUGACUCAAAAGUUAAUAAAGUUAUUUUCCGAUAGAACUUAUUUGAAGAUAUGAUCUUUCAAGAUUCAAGCACAGGUAUGAGAUUGUGGCUUCUGUGUAAGCCUACUUUUGGAUGAGAAUAGAAGCAGAGUGAAAGCAAUUUCUUGAUAAAAAAUUAAUCUGAUUAAGAUUAUGGUGCAUACCGGAAGAAGGCUAGAUUUUGAGUCCAAGAUGGACAUGAGUAUGACUAUUAAGGUUUAAUACAUGAGCAAAUCAAUAAAGCCAGAGUGAAAUUACUGCGGAAAUCUAAGAGUAAUUAUACAGUACUUUCUUGCAUUUCACUGUUAAUACUCUCUUUACUUUCUGGUUCUUUUAUUUAUUCUCUCCUUGGGAAAUUUUUGAAGUAUUACAAAAUCUAUCACAUAGCUUUUGAAGAGAUAAAGCAGAUUUUCUGUAUCAUGGUGGUGAAGACCAUCAGCUUUCUGACUUGAUGAAUGUUUCCUUAAACUUUGGAAGGUUAGUAUCAUACAUUAUAAAAAUAUGGCAUUUUCUCCUGAUUUACCAAGACAAGAUCUCAUCUUUUUCCACUCAUUGUUUGGUUCUUUUUCCCUUUCUUAUAGGAAUAGCUUUAUUUAUUUAGUGUGCUAAUAAAUAAAAUCAAUGAAUAGUUGUAAGAUGACGAUGUAGAGUAGAAGAGUUAUCAAAAAGUUAGCAACCAUUAGAUUCUACGUACCAUCUUUUGCCUGCAAUGAAAUUUCAGAGAAUGCUCUUGAACGUAUGUAUAUUCUUGGUUUUAAGCUUAAAUUCUUUUUCUUUGGAUUUAAUUGUUUAAGCAUCUAUAGUUUUUUUUUCCCUAAUAGGUUUAUUUUGUUCUUCUUUUCGGAUUGCCUAGGUCCUCUAUCUGAAAUAGCAGAAAAAAUUGAUGCUUGCUGACGUUGCCUCAAUUUGGUCGUAGAUUUACAAUUUAUUCUAUACUUUCACUGAUGAUUGUGUUUGGAAAAUGCAUGGUGACCAAUGAAAAUAGUGCUAGAAAAUUUAAUGCUCUUGGGCUCCAGAAAUCACACCAUAUAUUAGUGAAGCAUAAUUCUAUGUCAGUAUGUUCUCUCAUCCACACUUAUAUACUGAUUAAAUUGCAGGCUUACUUUCUAUAGUACUAUCUUGGUGUUCCUAAAGAAAAUUAUUGUAUAAUUAUAAACAUCUAUUUGUUAGUAAUAAUAGAAAAAAGUGGGAGGACUCUCCGUCAUCAGAGUCCCAUUUCCCACCAAUAUCCUUUGAGGAGAACGUGUCAGAAAUAUGUUAAAUGUUGUCUAAUUUUUGCUGAUAAAUAGUACUAUAUGUUAUUUUUUGAGUCAUACUUUAUCCUUUAGUUUAUCAUUUCCGUUAAAUAUUCAGGGAUAUAACAUUUAAUUAUUAGAUUUUGAUUAAUUUUGAUCUGGAGUUUCGAUGUACUAUUAUGUGAUUCUUUGCUAUUGGAUCCUUCUAUACCUGACAAGUUUUACUGAUUUCUUCCUUUUUUUAAAGAAAAGAAAAGAAAAGAAAAGAAAAUGAGAGCAUUACAAUCUCAACAUCCUAGGCAGUUCUGCUCUUCAAGCUGAAAAUACAAAGAUCAACGGUCACAAAUUUCACAGCCACAAGAAAGAAAGUCAGGGUCUAUUCCAUAAAUCCAUAUAGGCGAUGCUGGAGAAACUCUAAGGUUUAUAAAAUAGUCAGUGCUUUUUGUAGCAGAAAUGGUUAACGUGUAUGCAAAUAUAUGGGGACUUUAUGUAAUAUAUUUGUCAUGGUGGUGAAUUUUGCUACUCCCUCUGGCAUGUUAUGAAUAUUUAACUUGUAUGCAAAUGCAAUAAUAGAUGUUUUUUUAUUAUUAUUA